AUGAUUUUGGGGGAUUUUAAUGCAGAUGGACGUUACCUCCCCAAGAAGAAGAAGAAAAAGCUGCUCAUUUACUCUCCUCCGUACCAGUGGCUGAUAAACGAUGAUGUCGACACCACGACAAGUGACAAUACUGACCACACCUAUGACAGGUACCUUUACAUCUUGUUUUGUAACUACAAGACAUUAAACUUCAUGUCAACUGAGGAAAUAUAGUUUCUUUUACUGAACUUACAACACAACAGAAGUAAGUGGAAUUUAUUAUGUAGUGUUUACAGCAGUGAAACACAUCAUAAAAUAUUUCUAGGGAUUGAAAUGUCGGUUCUUCUGUUGGUCCACCACUUUUGUCCAGACUGAAAUAUUCAACUAUUGGAUGGAUUGCGAUGAAAUUUGGUACCAAUAUUUCUGAUCCUAAGAGGAUGAAUCUUAAUGACUUUAGUGAGCCCAUGACUUUUCAUCUAGCGCCGCCAUCAGAUUGUGACUACAUUUUCUGCCAACAAUCGUGUUUGGUGAUGACAUGUAUAAAGCUGUUGUUCCCAACUCAGCAAAGUCUUUCGACUUUCAGAACGCUUAUAAUCUGCCUGAUGCCAAAACUCAAGACAUCAGUGACCAUUACCCUGUGGAGGUGGAGCUGAAGGAGCUGGACGGGGAUGAUGACGAUGAUGACGAUGAUGACGAUGACGAUGAAGAAGAAGAGGAUUAACAUCAAACAGAUGAGCCCAGAAGACACCCAACAAGAAGAACGUCAGAGAAGGAAGGAUGUCCCUACAGCUGCAACGAUAACCUCAAGAUGAUGACACAUACGCAGAUGCAUGGCAGAGCACAUUAGCCUAAACACAUACAGCAUUAUAUCACUACUUACUUAUAAUCAUCCUCAUAUUGCUUAUGGCUUUGGAUUUGUAUUAUCUGAAAUAAACUAAUCAUGAAAGGUUU